GACGAACGCUGGCGGCGUGCUUAACACAUGCAAGUCGAACGAAAAGGCCCUGCUUUUGUGGGGUGCUCGAGUGGCGAACGGGUGAGUAACACGUGAGUAACCUUCCCUUGACUUUUGGAUAACUUCAGGAAACUGUGGCUAAUACCGGAUAGGAGCUCCUGCUGCAUGGUGGGGGUUGGAAAGUUUCGGCGGUUGGGGAUGGACUCGCGGCUUAUCAGCUUGUUGGUGGGGUAGUGGCUUACCACGGCUUUGACGGGUAGCCGGCCGGAGAGGGUGACCGGCAAAAUUGGGACUGAGAAACGGCCAAAACUCCUACGGGAGGAAGAAGUGGGGAAAAUUGAAAAAGGGGCGGAAGCCUGAUGAAGCAACGCGGCGUGCGGGAUAACGGCCUUCGGGUUGUAAACCGCUUUCGCCGGUGAGGAAGUGUGAGUGACGGUAAUGGGUAAAGAAGCACCGGCUAACUACGUG
rnacentral:rRNA from 1 species